AGCGAACGCUGGCGGCAGGCCUAACACAUGCAAGUCGAACGAACUCUUCGGAGUUAGUGGCGGAUGGGUGAGUAACACGUGGGAACGUGCCUUUAGGUUCGGAAUAACUCAGGGAAACUUGUGCUAAUACCGAAUGUGCCCUUCGGGGGAAAGAUUUAUCGCCUUUAUAGCGUCCCGCGUCUGAUUAGCUAGUUGGUGAGGUAAAGGCUCACCAAGGCGUCGAUCAGUAGCUGGUCUGAGAGGAUGGUCAGCCACAUUGGGACUGAGACACGGCCCAAACUCCUACGGGAGGCAGCAGUGGGGAAUCUAGCGCAAUGGGGGAAAGCCUGACGGAGCCAGGCCGCGUGAAUGAUGAAGGUCGGAGGAUAGUAAAAUUCUUUCACCGGGGACGAUAAUGACGGUACCCAGAGAAGAAGCCCCGGCUAACUUCGUG
rnacentral:rRNA from 1 species